GGCCUUGACAUACUAAGAACUUUCCAGAGAUGGAUUGGUGCCUUCGGGAACUUAGAUACAGGUGCUGCAUGGCUGUCGUCAGCUCGUGUCGUGAGAUGUUGGUUAAGUCCCGCAACGAGCGCAACCCUUUUCCUUAUUUGCCAGCGGGUCAUGCCGGGAACUUUAAGGAUACUGCCAGUGACAAACUGGAGGAAGGCGGGGACGACGUCAAGUCAUCAUGGCCCUUACGGCCAGGGCUACACACGUGCUACAAUGGUCGGUACAAAGGGUUGCUACCUCGCGAGAGGAUGCUAAUCUCAAAAAGCCGAUCGUAGUCCGGAUCGCAGUCUGCAACUCGACUGCGUGAAGUCGGAAUCGCUAGUAAUCGCGGAUCAGAAUGCCGCGGUGAAUACGUUCCCGGGCCUUGUACACACCGCCCGUCACACCAUGGGAGUUUGUUGCACCAGAAGUAGGUAGUCUAACCGCAAGGAGGACGCUUACCACGGUGUGGCCGAUGACUGGGGUGAAGUCGUAACAAGGUAGGCGUAGAUGA
rnacentral:rRNA from 1 species